UUUACUCUAAUUCAAGAAGUUAUAUUCAUGUGUAAAAGAAACAAUUGUAUAUACAAACACAUACAUCAGAGAUCUAUGCACAUACCUAUACGUAUACCUAUAAAUAUUUAUUGAACAUAUAUACACAAACACACCCCAUAUACACGUGUAUUGACACCUUUGGGCACACACCUAUCACCUUACAUACACACAUAUAUAUGCACACAUGCCCUUGCAGCUUUACGCCUACGAACUUACAAAUCAAAAUACACUCAUAUCUAUAUACUAUACAUAUGUACACAACCCCCGGGGCAUAAUCCAGUGGUGCAAAGGACAGGAGUGGGGUUAUUUCAUACCUUGCUGGCAGCCGCAGUGUGGAGGUUCGAUUCCUGAGACAUGGAAUUGGACUCCUUGUAGGCGCAGUGUACAUGCAGCUAUUAUUUCCUGACUUGUUGGAGCACAUCUCGCGAUUUACCUCCAUCACAAAACUUUAGGAGUGGGACGGUGGGGGCCUUCAAAGUUGGGGUUCAACCUUUAUACAAAUGUACACACCCACCCACAUAGAUAUAUACACACACAUGUUUAUAUAAGCAAAAGCCGGAUCAGGGUAUGAAGUUAUCAGACAGAAGAUGUCAGUCGGAUCACCAUUAUAAGAAGAGGUUGGAAAGUAAAAGUACAGGUUCAAAGAAGUACGAAGAAAUAAUACACAAAAAAGGGUAUCAUAUCUAUAAGAUUAAUUGGCUAAGCUUUACCAGUCCAAGCCCUCAAACAGCCCUUCCCCUUACUACAUUACUUAAUCCCUGUUUCUUCAAGAACAAGGUUAGGACAACCUUGGCUUCUUCCUUUUCUGCAGCCAACAAAGUUGAAAAAACCACACUUAAGCUGAAUUCUCCGUUGGUUUUCAUUUUUCAUCUCUUAAUUGGAAAAAUGUAUGAUUGAAAAUAAUUUAAUGCACUGGAAAGAAUCAUCUCUUCCAAUUACCCCAAAAGAAAAGGGGAAAAAAGGAAUAUCUUCCUGUAUCAAUACAUCAUAUUAGAUUGCCUAAAUUAUUCGUUAAUCCAUUUUCAAUUCCAUACAAAAACACACAAAUUUAAAAGACUCACAGCAUAACAUAAUCAGCCAUGCCAAUAUGCCUGCUGCAACUCUGAAAAUGAAACACUUUACCCAAACUCCCACCACAUAACAGCAAUUAAGCAGCAAUAACUGUGACGACUCAAGUACAAGAGCUUCAACGAAUCCUGGUGAUGUUAGAAAGUCGAAUGUUCUAUGUGCCUCAUUGUCAUUGCAGAUACAAGACCUCGAGAUGUUCCAAUUGAAACCGUGCAGACAAAAUAAGGAAUACUCAAAGUACAUUAGUAUUUUACACGUUAGGAGGAGCAUUUUAUAAACCAGAGAAUGUUAUUUCGGUUGUAGUAUGUUCUUCGAAAGAACCAGUCAACCAAAUGAAAAUCAACAGAAAAAGCAUGAAAUUAAGAGAGGACUUACCGACGACCCUUGACCGUGAAAAUCGGCAACCGACAUUGGGCAAUAUCGGUGAUUUGGUGAGAAAAUGAGAGAGGCUGCGCAGUGGGACUACGGGCAUGAGAGAGACAUGGAAGAUAGGUUAGGGAUGUUGAGUCU
rnacentral:lncRNA from 1 species